rnacentral:lncRNA from 1 species
CAACAUUGUAAAUCAAUUACACUUCAAUAAAACUUUAAAAAAUGGAAAAAGAAAAAAAAGAAAGAAUAGGACAGCAGGAAUGUCAAACACAAAAUGUCAGUAAAGGGCAGUCAGCCCAACCCUGCUUCCACCCCCAAGGGGCCUUCAUACAGGACCCAUCUCCUGAGCAGUGACAGAAAGAGUCCACCCCAAAUCUGCAGAACUUCCCAAUCCAAUCACACAACAGACCAUAAGUGCUAAAACACAUUGAAACAGAACCUCAAGUUGGAAAAGAGACUUAUAAAGUGGUUUUUGCCAUAGGGAACAUCUUUGAAACUUGCAGAGACAAUUCCCAGAUGGGUUGUCUGUAGAUGCAAUCUGGACUGGGGCUGUCUGUCACCUCCAGCUAGGAGACAAUCUGGCAGCACACAAAAAGAGCAUGGAGAAAAAAAAGAUGCAAGCAGUCAAUGUUGAGGCCCUUAUUGCGUGAUCAUCAUUUCCAUCUACUUCUUCACCUUUUUUUUUUUUUUUUAAUUUUUUUGCCUUUUCUAGGGCUGCUUCAGUGGCAUAUGGAGGUUCCCAGGCUAGGGGUCUAAUCAGAGCUAUAGCCACCAGCCUACAGCAGAUCCGAGCAGCACCUGCGACCCACACCACAGCUCAGGCAAUGCCGGAUCCUUAACCCACUGAGCAAGGCCAGGGAUCGAACCCACAACCUCAUGGUUCCUAGUCAGAUUGUUUCCACUGCACCACGAUGGGAACUCCCCUGUACCACAUCGUCUUAAUCCAUUAAUCUGCCAAUGGCCAUUUAGGUUGUUUCUAAACAUGGCCAUCAUGGAUGUUUUGAAUAGUGCUGCAGUGUAUAUAGGGGUGCAUGUAUCUUUUGAAUUAUGAUUUUUUCUGGAUAUAUGCCCAGGAGUGGGAUUGCCGGAUCACAUGGUAAUUCUAUUUUUAGUUUUUUAAGGAAUUGCCAUACUGUUUUCCAUUGUGGUUAUUCCAACUUACUUUCUUAACAACAGUGUAGAAGGGUUUCCUUUCCUCCACACCUUCUUCAUCAUCUUCCAGUUGCUUGAGUUAAAAACCUCAAGGUCAUCCUUAACUCCUUUCUUUCCCUUAACAUCUAUACAUGCUCUGGAAAUCCUGGCUCUACUUUCAAAACAUAACCUCUGUGCUCAUCAAGUGUCAUCACCUCCACUACUAUAACCUUGGUCUAGGUCACCAUCAGCUCCUUCACAGAUCAUCACUCUAGCCUCCUAGCUGGUCUCCCUGUUUUUACCUUUGCCUCCCUGAAAUCUCUUUAUCAGGGAAGCAACCAAGGUGAUCAUUGUACUCCUCCACUCAGAUCCCUUCUAUGGGCCCAUCUCACUCAGAUUAAAAAAACCCCAGAUUCUCUGCAGUUCUAUCUCUGGCCCCACUUCCAGCAUUUGCUGCCCAUGUCUUCAUUCCUUCUCCAAUCUCAUCUUCUCCUACCUGUACCUCUUGAUCACUUGUCACCAUUGGCUGGAGCACUUGAUGGAGGAUUCUUUUUUUUUGCUUUUUAGGGCUGCACCCAUGGCAUAUGGAGAUUCCCAGGCUAGGAGCUGAAUUGGAGUUAUAGCCAAUGGUCUACACCACAGCCAUAGCAAUAUCAAAUCCAAGCUGCAUCUGCGACCCACACCACAGUUCAUGGCAAUAGCAGAUCCUUAAUGCAGUCAGGGAGGCCAGGGAUUGAACCUGCAACCUUAUGGUUCCUAGUUGCAUUCGUUUCCACUGUGCCAUCAUGGGAACUCUAACGGAGGAUUCUUGAGGGCCUUUUCAUCUGCAGUUUUCUCUGCCUGGGAGGCUGUUACUCCAGAUUCAUUUACUCCCUUUAGGUCUUCACUCAAACUUCCGGGCCACCUUAUCUAAAAUUGCAAACUAUAUACUAAACACACGCAUGCACACACACACACACACACAUACAUUGCUCGACACUUUUAUCAUCAUUUCUUCCUUUGGUUUUCUUCUUAAUAAAGAUUUCACUUAUUUGUAUUUUUCUUAUUCUGUCUGACUCUCCCAUUGAAUGCAAAGGGUCAGCAAACUACAAUCCAAGGGCUAAAUCCAAUUCCCCUGCUCAUUUUUGUAAGGAUUGGAACACAGCCACACCCAUUUGUUUAUAUAUCUUCUAUGGCUGCUUUCAGAGGGCCCCCAAAGCCAAAAGUGUUUAUUAUUCAGCCCUUUGAAGAAAAGGCUUAGCAACUGAUGUGAAUAUAAGCUUCAAAAGAACAUGGAUUUUUGUUUAUUUUAUUCUUUUCUUUGUAACUAGAGUCACAGAGUCAUGUCUAAUGUACAUUAGAUAUUUGAUAAAAAUCUAUUGCUGGUGAAUAAAUUAAAAAAAAAUUAAAAAAAAAAACUGGCUCUACACUUUCAGAACUUCACAGAAGAAUGAAGUUAAAUUGGAUUUCCAUAUGACUAGGGAGCCACGGCAGACAUUUUUGGAGGGUUUUGUUGAAGUUCUUUUUGUCAUUUUCUUUACAUCAUUCAUUCUAAGUAAUAGUGGUCAUUUUCUAGUGUUGACUUUAAAUGAAACAUAAAAUAACUGGUGGAAAUAUUGUUAUUAUGCCAAUUUUAUUGUUAUAGAAUCAUACCUAUAAUAGGGCCAUUAAACAAGCCUUUUGAGAGCAGCUAUUUAGGUCUAAAAUAGCCUUAAGGUGCCAGUUGAAAUCACCUUUUCGACAUUUCCAGACCUGCUUUCAUCUUGUUACUCACCAAAUGAGCGACAAGAGCUAAACCAGUUUGAAUAUAAGAUUAUAGUAAGUAUUGGUCAUUUGAGUUCAGCCGAAAAUAUAGUACCUUUCUGGCCUUGCACUUGUAGGCAUCAGAAUAAGCUAUUGCUUCCAAAGGAAAGAUAAGGUUGAGAGUGUUUUGUUUGAUCUCUGGUGGCACUAGAGAUUUCAGUAGUAAAACCAAAAUCAAUGCCUCUUUUCUUUCCCAGGGAACCAUUCACAAAGGAAUUGGCACAUGAGACCCUUCUCUUUAGAAGGAGGGGUUGGGACUCUUUCAGAUAGAAGUGUUCCCCUCUUUUUCUGUGACACCUCAAUACUCCAUUCAAAAAAAAAAAAAAA